GUCCCUGUAGCUCGGUGGACAGAGCGCGGACAGCGUUGCCUAUUUCACACAGCGUUUGAGAUUAGCGGGUUUUCCAGCGAAGUCUACUCAGCGAAAUAUCAGCGCAUCCGAGGCCAGCGGUUCGAAUCCGCUCGGGGAUA